GGAGAGGUGGCUGAGUGGCUGAAAGCGUCCUCCUGCUAAGAGGAAGCGGGUAAUUAAUACCUGUCGCAGGUUCAAAUCCUGUUCUCUCCG
rnacentral:tRNA from 1 species